rnacentral:rRNA from 1 species
AUUGAACGCUGGCGGCAGGCUUAACACAUGCAAGUCGAGCGGAGCGAGGGUGCUUGCACCUUAGCUUAGCGGCGGACGGGUGAGUAAUGCUUAGGAAUCUGCCUAUUAGUGGGGGACAACAUUCCGAAAGGAAUGCUAAUACCGCAUACGCCCUACGGGGGAAAGCAGGGGAUCUUCGGACCUUGCGCUAAUAGAUGAGCCUAAGUCGGAUUAGCUAGUUGGUGGGGGAAAGGCCUACCAAGGCAACGAUCUGUAGCGGGUCUGAGAGGAUGAUCCGCCACACUGGGACUGAGACACGGCCCAGACUCCGACGGGAGGCAGCAGUGGGGAAUAUUGGACAAUGGGCGGAAGCCUGAUCCAGCCAUGCCGCGUGUGUGAAGAAGGCCUUUUGGUUGUAAAGCACUUUAAGCGAGGAGGAGGCUACUUAGAUUAAUACUCUGGGAUAGUGGACGUUACUCGCAGAAUAAGCACCGGCUAACUCUGUGCCAGCCGCCGCGGUAAAAC